GUGGGGAAUUUUGGACAAUGGGCGCAAGCCUGAUCCAGCAAUGCCGCGUGCAGGAAGAAGGCCUUCGGGUUGUAAACUGCUUUUGUACGGAACGAAACGGUCCUGGCUAAUAUCCGGGGCUAAUGACGGUACCGUAAGAAUAAGCACCGGCUAACUACGUGCCAGCAGCCGCGGUAAUACGUAGGGUGCGAGCGUUAAUCGGAAUUACUGGGCGUAAAGCGGGCGCAGGCGGUGCUGUAAGACAGGCGUGAAAUCCCCGGGCUCAACCUGGGAAUUGCGCUUGUGACUGUAGUGCUGGAGUGCGGCAGAGGGGGAUGGAAUUCCGCGUGUAGCAGUGAAAUGCGUAGAUAUGCGGAGGAACACCGAUGGCGAAGGCAAUCCCCUGGGCCUGCACUGACGCUCAUGCACGAAAGCGUGGGGAGCAAACAGGAUUAGAAACCCGUGUAGUCC
rnacentral:rRNA from 1 species